rnacentral:ncRNA from 1 species
UAUUGAGGAGGAGGUGCGGAACCCACCUGCCCAUAUGGGCGCCAUGGUUGGUGGGGGAGCCAGUGGCGCAACCAGCCGACUUACGU